rnacentral:rRNA from 1 species
AACGAACGCUGGCGGCGUGGAUAAGACAUGCAAGUCGAACGGGACUAAAUCUGUAGCAAUACAGGUUUAGUUUAGUGGCGAACGGGUGCGUAACACGUGGGCAAUCUGCCGAGAAGUGGGGGAUAGCUCGCCGAAAGGCGAAUUAAUACCGCAUAUGAUCAGCUAAGACAUCUUAGCGACAUCAAAGCCGGGGUAACCUGGCGCUUCUUGAUGAGCCCGCGGCCUAUCAGCUAGUUGGUGAGGUAACGGCUCACCAAGGCUAUGACGGGUAGCUGGUCUGAGAGGACGACCAGUCACACUGGAACUGAGACACGGUCCAGACACCUACGGGUGCAGCAGUCGAGUAAUUUUUCUCAAUGGGGAAACCCUGAAGGAGCGACGCCGCGUGGAGGAUGAAGGCUUUCGGUUGUAAACUCCUGUCAUUUGAGAACAAGUGUAGCCAAGUAACUACCGGCUACUUGAUAGUAUCAGAAGAGGAAGAGACGGCUAACU